rnacentral:rRNA from 1 species
GGGGUAAGGAGAUUUAAUAGUUGUACCUUUUGUAUCAGGGGAUUUUAAAAAUAUAAAAAGGAUGUGAUCGAAUUUACUAGAUCUUCUUUAUUAAAUUUAUAGUAAAAUUUAAAGGUCAAAAAUAAUUAAGGGGUGAAAGGUGUACGGUGGUAAUGGUAUCUAAUUGUUUUUUUAGUUAAUGGGAUAAGCCUUUAAAUUUCUAUUAAGUAGCUAGUAUAAAGAAAGCUAGGCUUUAGAUUAGCUAUGUUGUUAGAUUGUUUUAAGUAAUCUUAUAGAUAAGCAGGUAAAUAGAAUUGUAAAGAUAAUGUGAGUUAGUAAAGAUUUACAUAAAUAAUGAAUUUAUUGAAUUUUCUAAUGGAGUUAUAAAAUAACUCAUGGUAGAUUAGAAAGUUUAACAAAAACAUUUCUAUUAGGUGUUAUAAAAGUAAGGCCUGCCCGGUGAUAAAUAAACGGCUGCGGUAUUUUGACUGUGCUAAGGUAGCAUAAUCAUUUGCUUCUUAAUUGGUAGCUGGAAUGAAAGGUUAAACUAAUUUACUUUGUUUGUGAAAUUAAAAAAGAGAUUUAAGUCAAGGUAAUAAUUCUUUGAUAGCCUAGGGGACGAUAAGACCCUAGAAGCUUAAUAAAAUGUAUAUUUGUUAGUAAUGGUGUCUAAUUUGGUUUACUGGGGCGGUAUUAGUGUAUAAACCACUAUAGUUUUGAGAGAUCCUUUAGAUGAAGAUAAGACGGGAAAGUUACUCUAGGGUUAACAGUGUGAUAUAUUUGGAGAGAUCUUAUUGAUAAAUAGUAUUGCAACCUCGAUGUUGAAUUAAGAUUUCUAAGUGAGGCAGUAGGCACAUAAGAAGGUUUGUUCAACC